rnacentral:rRNA from 1 species
CCUACGGGAGACAGCAGUGGGGAAUAUUGCACAAUGGGGGAAACCCUGAUGCAGCGACGCCGCGUGAGUGAAGAAGUAAUUCGUUAUGUAAAGCUCUAUCAGCAGGGAAGAAAAUGACGGUACCUGAGUACGCCGCCCCGGCUAACUACGUGCCAGCCGCCGCGGUAAUACGUAGGGGGCAAGCGUUAUCCGGAUUUACUGGGUGUAAAGGGAGCGUAGACGGCAGUGCAAGUCUGGAGUGAAAGGCGGGGGCUCAACCCCCGGACUGCUCUGGAAACUGUACGGCUGGAGUGCAGGAGAGGUAAGUGGAAUUCCUAGUGUAGCGGUGAAAUGCGUAGAUAUUAGGAGGAACACCAGUGGCGAAGGCGGCCUGCUGGACAGAAACUGACGUUGAGGCUCGAAAGCGUGGGGAGCAAACAGGAUUAGAUACCCCAGUAGUC